rnacentral:rRNA from 1 species
GUUUGAUCCUGGCUCAGGAUGAACGCUAGCGGCAGGGCUUAACACGAUGCAAGUCGAGGGGCAUCGGGUCCAGCAAUGGAUGCCGGCGACCGGCGAAAGGGUGAGUAACGCGUGAGCAACAUGCCCGACACUGGGGGAUAGUCAUUGGAAACGGUGCGUAAUACCCCGUAACACAUUGCCUCGCAUGGGGCGAUGUUGAAAGAUUCAUUGGUGUCGGAUUGGCUCGCGUGCCAUUAGGUAGACGGCGGGUAACGGCCCACCGUGCCGACGAUGGCUAGGGGUUCUGAGAGGAAGGUCCCCCACAUUGGAACUGAGACACGGUCCAGACUCCUACGGGAGGCAGCAGUGAGGAAUAUUGGACAAUGGCCGGAAGGCUGAUCCAGCCAUGCCGCGUGCGGGAUGACGGCCCUAUGGGUUGUAAACCGCUUUUGCGGGGAGCAAUAAGUUGUACGCGUACAACGACGAGAGUACCCUGCGAAUAAGCAUCGGCUAACUCCGUGCC